GAUGAACGCUAGCUACAGGCUUAACACAUGCAAGUCGAGGGGAAACGAUAGAGAAAGCUUGCUUUUUCUAGGCGUCGACCGGCGCACGGGUGAGUAACGCGUAUCCAACCUGCCCAUCACUUGGGGAUAACCUUGCGAAAGUAAGACUAAUACCCAAUGACGUCUCUAGAAGACAUCUGAAAGAGAUUAAAGAUUUAUCGGUGAUGGAUGGGGAUGCGUCUGAUUAGCUUGUUGGCGGUGUAACGGCCCACCAAGGCGACGAUCAGUAGGGGUUCGGAGAGGAAGGUCCCCCAAAUUUGAAGUGAGACACGGUCCAAACUCCUACGGGAGGCAGCAGUGAGGAAUAAUGGUCAAUGGACGAGAGUCUGACCCAGCCAAGUAGCGUGCAGGAUGACGGCCCUAUGGGUUGUAAACUGCUUUUAUAAGGGAAUAAAGUGAGUCUCGUGAGACUUUUUGCAUGUACCUUAUGAAUAAGGACCGGCUAAUUCCGUGCCAGCCGCCGCGGUAA
rnacentral:rRNA from 1 species